rnacentral:rRNA from 1 species
GAUUAACGCUGGCGGCGUGCAUAACACAUGCAAGUCGAACGAUGAAACUUUAAUGACCCCUUCGGGGAGAAUUAAAGCGGAUUAGUGGCGAACGGGUGAGUAACGCGUGAGUAACCUGCCUUACACAAGGGGAUAGCCUUUGGAAACGAAGAAUAAUACCCUAUAAAACCAUAAAAGCACAUGCAAUUAUGGUCAAAGUGAUAGCGGUGUAAGAUGGACUUGCGUCUGAUUAGCUAGUUGGUGAGAUAAAAGCCCACCAAGGCAACGAUCAGUAGCCGGCUUGAGAGAGUGUACGGCCACAUUGGGACUGGGACAAGGCCCAGACUCCUACGGGAGGCAGCAGUGGGGAAUUUGGCACAAUGGGGGAAACCCUGAUGCAGCGAGGCCGCGAGAUUUAGAAGGCCUUCGGGUUGUAAAAAUCUUUUGUAUAGGAAGAAAAUGACAGUACUAUACGAAUAAGGUCCGGCUAAUUACGUG